UACGUAGGGGGCAAGCGUUAUCCGGAAUUACUGGGUGUAAAGGGAGCGUAGACGGUAAUGUAAGUCUGGAGUGAAAGGCGGGGGCCCAACCCCCGGACUGCUCUGGAAACUAUGUUACUAGAGUGCAGGAGAGGUAAGCGGAAUUCCUAGUGUAGCGGUGAAAUGCGUAGAUAUUAGGAGGAACACCAGUGGCGAAGGCGGCUUACUGGACUGUAACUGGCGUUGAGGCUCGAAAGCGUGGGGAGCAAACAGG
rnacentral:rRNA from 1 species